rnacentral:tRNA from 1 species
GGCUGGGUAGCUCAAUGGUUGAGCAGGCGCUUCAUACGCGCAAGGUUGUGGGUUCGAAUCCCACCCCAGCCACUA